UGGGGAAUAUUGCACAAUGGGCGCAAGCCUGAUGCAGCCAUGCCGCGUGUAUGAAGAAGGCCUUCGGGUUGUAAAGUACUUUCAGCGGGGAGGAAGGCGAUGUGGUUAAUAACCGCGUCGAUUGACGUUACCCGCAGAAGAAGCACCGGCUAACUCCGUGCCAGCAGCCGCGGUAAUACGGAGGGUGCAAGCGUUAAUCGGAAUUACUGGGCGUAAAGCGCACGCAGGCGGUCUGUCAAGUCGGAUGUGAAAUCCCCGGGCUCAACCUGGGAACUGCAUCCGAAACUGGCAGGCUUGAGUCUCGUAGAGGGGGGUAGAAUUCCAGGUGUAGCGGUGAAAUGCGUAGGGAUCUGGAGGAAUACCGGUGGCGAAGGCGGCCCCCUGGACAAAGACUGACGCUCAGGUGCGAAAGCGUGGGGAGCAAACA
rnacentral:rRNA from 1 species